CUUUUUCUAGGGUCUGGUCUUGGUACUAUGUUGAUAGCAAGGGUGCAAGGCUCAAGGGAAGCAGCUGGUUCUGUAGUUCUUUGUAUGCUUAUGGUAUCUUGGAUGAGGGUUACAAAUUCAACCUGUCAGUUGAGGAAGCUGCUGAGUUAGCAUGGCGGGCUUUUAUCACAAAAUAUUCUGCGACAGAGCUAGUGGUGGCUGUGUUCCUGGUGGUAUGCAUUCUGUUUCUUAGUUUCUAUCCUGAUAUUUGUUUUGUUCACUCAAUAAGCACGAUACAACAUGCAUGCAGAUUUGUUAAAC